UACGUAGGGGGCGAGCGUUGUCCGGAGUUACUGGGCGUAAAGCGCUUGUAGGCGGUCCACCAAGUUUGGGGUGACAGUUGCCGACUUAAUCGGCAAAGUGCCUCAAAGACUGGCGGACUUGAGGGCCACAGAGGGACAUGGAACUCCAGGUGUAGUGGUGAAAUGCGUAGAUAUUGCUCGGAAGGCCAACGGCGAAGGCAGGUUACUGGUGCGCAACUGACACUGAGGCACGAAAGCGUGGGGAGCAGACAGG
rnacentral:rRNA from 1 species